rnacentral:rRNA from 1 species
GGCGUGCUUAACACAUGCAAGUCGAACGGUGAUGCCCAGCUUGCUGGGCGGAUCAGUGGCGAACGGGUGAGUAACACGUGAGUAACCUGCCCCAGACUCCGGGAUAAGCCUUGGAAACGAGGUCUAAUACUGGAUAUGAGAUGCCCCUGCAUGGGGAGUGUCUGGAAAGAUUUAUCGGUCUGGGAUGGACUCGCGGCCUAUCAGCUUGUUGGUGGGGUAAUGGCCUACCAAGGCGACGACGGGUAGCCGGCCUGAGAGGGCGACCGGCCACACUGGGACUGAGACACGGCCCAGACUCCUACGGGAGGCAGCAGUGGGGAAUAUUGCACAAUGGGCGAAAGCCUGAUGCAGCGACGCCGCGUGAGGGAUGAAGGCCUUCGGGUUGUAAACCUCUUUCAGCAGGGAAGAAGCGCAAGUGACGGUACCUGCAGAAGAAGCGCCGGCUAACUACGUGCCAGCAGCCGCGGUAAUACGUAGGGCGCAAGCGUUGUCCGGAAUUAUUGGGCGUAAAGAGCUCGUAGGCGGUUUGUCGCGUCUGGUGUGAAAACUCAAGGCUCAACCUUGAGCUUGCAUCGGGUACGGGCAGACUAGAGUGCGGUAGGGGUGACUGGAAUUCCUGGUGUAGCGGUGGAAUGCGCAGAUAUCAGGAGGAACACCGAUGGCGAAGGCAGGUCACUGGGCCGCAACUGACGCUGAGGAGCGAAAGCAUGGGGAGCGAACAGGAUUAGAUACCCUGGUAGUCCAUGCCGUAAACGUUGGGCACUAGGUGUGGGGCUCAUUCCACGAGUUCCGUGCCGCAGCAAACGCAUUAAGUGCCCCGCCUGGGGAGUACGGCCGCAAGGCUAAAACUCAAAGGAAUUGACGGGGGCCCGCACAAGCGGCGGAGCAUGCGGAUUAAUUCGAUGCAACGCGAAGAACCUUACCAAGGCUUGACAUACACCGGAAACUUCCAGAGAUGGUUGCCCCGCAAGGUCGGUGUACAGGUGGUGCAUGGUUGUCGUCAGCUCGUGUCGUGAGAUGUUGGGUUAAGUCCCGCAACGAGCGCAACCCUCGUCUUAUGUUGCCAGCACGUCAUGGUGGGGACUCAUAAGAGACUGCCGGGGUCAACUCGGAGGAAGGUGGGGAUGACGUCAAAUCAUCAUGCCCCUUAUGUCUUGGGCUUCACGCAUGCUACAAUGG